AGAUGAGGGCCGUUGAAUCCAGCGCCGCAAUCGGAGGAGAAGACAAGACCGGCCAUCAGAUGCCUUUUUUUUUUUGGGCGACGCCGCCAAUGUGCAGUACCAGCGGAGUCAAGUUAGAGUCCACUCGCCAGCCAAAAGCGAAUCGCAUAGCAGAUUUUCUGCCAGCUGUCCCUCGCUGCUGCCAACGGAGAGCCCAGGAAGGGCCACCUUUAGCAGGGCACCACUAGAACAGAGGCAGGUGAGUCUGAAUUUGUGGAAUUUUAAUUUAUGCGGCUGUUGUGCGGUCGGCGACGAGGAGAGCCUAGCAAUGCAGUCAGGACCCCAAUUUUUUGGGAGAGCUGUCUAGGUAAGGACCCUCGUUUGCCUGGCAUGCGAAUAGCAGGGCAUUUUGGUCUCCAUAAUGGGGAAUGCUGAGUCGGCGCCGUAAGGACCCCAGGCUUGGGAGAGCUGCGUCUGACAAGGACCCUCUUUAUGUGAGAAAAUAUUUAUAAUUAAUUUAAGCAACGGCCUGCUUGGGAGGUUCGUCUGGAUUCGUUGGAGGAUGAUGCAAACAGAGCAGCGCAGUCGGAGGACCAGCAGCAAGCAGAGGUCAGAGAUCUCUCCUGCAGCCAACGGACCACAAGUGGGAAAUUAGCUGUCAGCCAAAAAGCUUGCCGUGGCCAGCAUCAGCCCUUGGUCCCCAUCGUGGCAUUGGCAAUGGCUUUCCAGUCAGCAGCCGCUGCUCUUGUAGUUCUGGCAGGAUCCGGUCGGAAGCAGCGAACAGGUAAAAGAUGAUUUAGAAGGUCCAACGCCGCAGUCCCCUUCCCACGCUGCCGUCGCUAUGACAAGAAGAUGUGGCUUUUCCUUUGCAGGAACCGGUGACGCGGAAUAUUUUCCCUAUUUGAGGGAUCAGCUUGAGGAGGAUGAGGGAGUCCCGUGCAGCAGUCGAUGUCGAGAGAGUCCGGCGUUGGGUGGCCGCAUGUAGAGCAGUGCAGCCAAAGUGCCGGGUCAAGCGGGCGUCAAGCUGAAGUCCUUUCUCCAGAUCGGAAGCCAGAAGUGGCAGUUCCAAAAUCAGCCAAAAACCUAACUGCAGUCAACGGUUGCCCGCGGAGAGCCACGUUCAAGAGAAAUCCAAUAGGAUAGAGCCAGGUGAGUCCGAAUUCCCUCGCCCUUACAAGCGGCUGUUUAGCGGCCGACGAUGAGGAGAGCCUAGCAAUGCAGUCAGGACCCCAAUUUUUGGGAGAGCUGUCUAGGUAAGGACCCUCGUUUGCCUGGCAUGCAAAUAGCAAGGCAUUAUGGUCUCCGAAUUGGGGAGAGCUGAGUCGGCGCCGUAAGGACCCCAGGCUUGGGAGAGCUGCGUCUGACGAGGAUCCUCUUUACGUGAAAAAUUAUUUGUAUUUAAUUUAAUUUUCCUUCAGCAAAUUUGAGAUCCCUUCGUAUCCGCAUUCAGGUUGGUAUUUUCGUUUAUCGCGUUCAUGUAUUAAUAUGUUUUCUAUUUUCAGAUUUCGCCGCAGUGAGGAUUUAGGGCUGGCGAGCAGCAGUCAGCAGCUAGAGAGAGUCUGGCGUUGGAAGGGCGUUUUGGAAAAAUGAUGCCAGAGUGCUGACUCCAAGAGGGAGCUCGGCCUAGAUCCUCUCGCCAGGAAGAGGCUGCAUGUGGCAGGUUUUCUGUGGAAUGUCCCUCGCUGCAGUCAACGGGCGCCAGGAAGAUCAAUUUUUGGAAAGUUUAAGCAAUGCAGCUAUUGUUUACCAAAAAUGCAAGCCAUUCAAUAAAAAUUUUUUGUAAUUUCAGGAUUUGUUGGCUGAUGAUGCAUGCGGAGCAGCGCAGUCAGUUGACCAGUACCAAGCAGGGGUCGGAGGUCUUUCUUGCAGCCAGCAGACCACAUGUGGCAAAUUUGUUUAUGGCCAAUCGCUUGCCGCGGUCAGUGCUGGCGAUGCCUUUCCAGUUUGCAGCCGCUGCUCUGGUAGUUCUUGCGGGAUCCGGUCAAAAACAGCGAAUAGGUAAAGUUGAUUUUAAAGGAUCAACGCCGCAGUCACCUUCCCACGCUGCCGUCGCUACGAUAUGGAGAUGUGGCUUUACCUUUGCAGGAGCUGAUGGAUCGGAAUAUUGGUGACCGCUUGCAGAGCAAUGCAGCCGAAAUUUCGGAGUGAGUGGGAAUCAGACAGGAGUCCUCCCUCCAUUAAGGAACCGGGCAUGGCUGAUCAAAAGCCGGUCAAUCCCUCGCUGCAAUUUACAGCUGCCAACAGGGAGCAACAUUCGGGAGAUCUUCAGCAAGACAGAGGCAGGUGAGUCCAAAUUUCCUUGCCAUUUAAGAGGCCGUUGUGCAGCCGGCGAUGAGGAGAGCCUAGCAAUGCAGUCAGGACCCCAAUUUUUGGGAGAGCUGUCUAGGUAAGGACCCUCAUUCGCCAGGCAUGCAUAGCAGAAAUUAUUUUUGUACUCCACAAUAGAGGAGAGCUGAGUUGGCACAGUAAGGACCCCAGGCUUGGGAGAGCUGUGUCUGACAAGGCCUCUUUUUGCGUAGGGAGUAAUUUUCCAGCAGUUCCUUGAGCCACCACUGGCUAGUGUGCAUCGAUCCGGAUGUACAAGGGAGACAGGAAGUACAAGCAACAGCCGGCGUGAGGGAUUCAUCAGGAUUCGUUGGAUGAUGAUGCAAGUGGAGCAGCACGGUCGGUAAACCAGCAUCAAGCAGAGGUCGGAGAUCUUUCCUGCAACCGACAGAGCGCAAGUGGCAAAUUUGUUGUCGGCCAGACGCUUGCCGUGGUCAGCAUCAGCCCUUGUGGACUUCGUCGUGGUGUUGGCAAUGUUUUUUCAGUCAGCAGCCACUAUUCUGGCUGUGCUUGCAGGAUUCGCCCGAGCCAGCGAACAGGAACAGUGGCAAAGUAAGGCAGCCACCAUGCUGAUAGGUACCAAGGAUAAACCGCUUGAAGGCCAAGGACUCCCACGCUGCAGUCGACGGUGUUGGCGAACCAGGAUUAAGUGCCCACAAAAAGGAACAUUUUUAACGCAGCAGACGGGGUGGGUAGAGGAGGCCCGUACCCUGCGCAAUUUAAUCCAUCCAGUGCGAGUUGAGCGCCAGGAGCCAGGGAAGGCAUGAGGACGCCGGACGAUGUAUCUGGGCGAGCUUCUAAGGACUUCGUAAUAUAUGCAGGUGAGUUAGUAUUUGUAAUAGAUAAACAAUUUCUGUGUUCGGCAGUGUGGAGAGCCUAGAAAUGCAGUCAGGACCCCAAGUUUUUGGGAGAGCUGUCUAGGAAGGGACCCUCAUUCAGCCGGCGUGUCUAUAGCAAGGAUUUUGGACUCCGUAUUGGGGAGAGCUGAGUUGGCACAGUAAGGACCCCAGGCUUGGGAGAGCUGCGUCUGACGAGGACUCUUCUUACGUGAGAGGUAAAUGUUUUUAAGUUUAGUUUUUCAGCAAUUUGAGAACAGUUUCUAUGUUAGCAUCAGGUUGGUAUUUCAUUUAUUAUUAUUUGCCAGAUUUUUGUUUCCUAAUCACCCCUUUUUCCUAUUAUUUAGGUGUUAUUUUAUAACCUCACACCAUUAAGGAGCCCCCGCACAGACUAUUUCAAAGUUAUCAAGACAGAGAAGACCGCAAACCCUUCAACCUAUCUCGCAAUCACAGGAAGCAAUCAGUUUAUGUCAUUUUCGGGCCAAGAUGCUUCAGCCAGCGGGUUCAGGAAAGGAUGUGAUUUCUGUCGUCUUGCUCAGUUCAUUCCUGUCAGCUCACAUAAGAGACAGAAAAAAUGGAAGUCAGGGGCACUGAGUGGGUUUUACCUACGUUUGAGGAUCGCUCUGUAGGUUGAGUAUGG